AUGGCAAAUUUUGGUAAUGGAUCAUUGCAACUUCAUUUUCAUUUUUUAAACCACAUCAAUUUUAAUAGUGGAUCAUGGCAUUUUUUACUUGUUUUUUCAUACGCAAACCCAUGUUACUUUUUUGCCAUGGAAAAUUUUGCUUCAUUUUAUUUUUCGUCGCGACAAAUUUUGUUAAAUUUGUUGCCUUGUCAAAAGAUAAAACAUGUUGCCAUGCAAACCUUCGCGUUUCUUUGUAAAUUUUAUUGUCUCUCUUUGCCUACCUAUCCGAACAAUGUUGCCACGACAAUUUUUACAUUUUUUUGGGGGAAUAUGACAGUUUUUUGA
rnacentral:rRNA from 1 species